UACAGAGGGUGCGAGCGUUAAUCGGAAUUACUGGGCGUAAAGCGUGCGCAGGCGGCUAUGCAAGACAGAUGUGAAAUCCCCGGGCUCAACCUGGGAACUGCAUUUGUGACUGCAUGGCUAGAGUACGGUAGAGGGGGAUGGAAUUCCGCGUGUAGCAGGUGAAAUGCGUAGAGAUGUGGAGGAACACCGAUGGCGAAGGCAGCCUCCUGGGCUAGUACUGACGCUCAUGCACGAAAGCGUGGGGAGCAACAGG
rnacentral:rRNA from 1 species